AGUGAACGCUGGCGGUAGGCCUAACACAUGCAAGUCGAACGGCAGCACAGUAAGAGCUUGCUCUUACGGGUGGCGAGUGGCGGACAGGUGAGGAAUACAUCGGAAUCUACUUUUUCGUGGGGGAUAACGUAGGGAAACUUACGCUAAUACCGCAUACGACCUACGGGUGAAAGCAGGGGAUCUUCGGACCUUGCGCGAUUGAGUGAGCCGAUGUCGGAUUAGCUAGUUGGCGGGGUAAAGGCCCACCAAGGCGACGAUCCGUAGCUGGUCUGAGAGGAUGAUCAGCCACACUGGAACUGAGACACGGUCCAGACUCCUACGGGAGGCAGCAGUGGGGAAUAUUGGACAAUGGGCGCAAGCCUGAUCCAGCCAUACCGCGUGGGUGAAGAAGGCCUUCGGGUUGUAAAGCCCUUUUGUUGGGAAAGAAAAGCAGCAGGUUAAUACCCCGCUGUUCUGACGGUACCCAAAGAAUAAGCACCGGCUAACUUCGUG
rnacentral:rRNA from 1 species